GUGUCCAGAUGGACUCAGGGGACUUCUGCUCACGGAAGCGGCCCUCAAACACGGCAGCCACCUGUGUCAUGUCAAAGGCGCAGACAGCCGAGCCGGGGAUGCUGUAGGUGGAGGCAGAUGAAAGGAAGUGGACACCCUCUCUGACCCUUCCUCCAAAGGCAGAAAAUAAAGACAUGCCUGCAUCUGCCAAGUUUUGGCCAGAGGGCCUCGGAGGGUCAGUGUCUGGCUUGGUCCCCCCCUGGCCUGGGACAGAGGCCUCCUGGGAGCCCUGUUUUACCCAGCACAGGACCCCUGGGAAUAUGUGGUGAGUGAUCGUGAAAACUCUCCACCUGCACCCACUGACCUGUUGCUGGGCGUGGAGAAAACAGCAAGGACCACGGGCCGGCCCCCCAGGCUGACCACGCCCGUGACAGCCUGCAGCACGUUGAAGUAGAAGUGAGAGUCCCCUGGCACAGAGCAGUUGAGCCGCGCCUUCAGGAAUGAUGUCCACUGCUUCUCCAGUACGCGAGGAGAGCCGCCCAUGUCAUUCUUGCAGACCCGGGCCACACGUGACACCACCACCUAGCACAUCAGCAGGAAGACAGGGGCCUGAGCCCCCUGUUCUGCCAGGCCCACCUGCAGGUUGCAAUGCCCACCACCCAGGCUGGGAUGGAGGAAGCUAGUUCUGGCUGGCUGUGAGUCCCUGGCCAGUCACCCUAGCCCCCUGGGCACCAGAUUCCCCGACAGAAAUGUGGGGAUGGUGAUGAUCACAGCCACCAAGACAACUGUAAUCAUCAUUGCCUCCACUGAUGGAUCCCCCACUAGGUGCCAGGCACUUUAUCCUCAUCGUGUCUCACGUUCCUCCCAAAGCUCUAUAGAGGAGGGCCUAUGAUCCCCGUGGUACAGAGGGGAAACUGAGGCACAGAGAAAGGGAAGUGACUGAAGCCCAAGGCCACACUAGUAGUAAGUGGCAGUCUGUGCACUUAACUGUCUACAUGGAUUGAGAGAUGGGAUGGAUGGAUAGGUGGUGCAAUGCAGGUGAAUGGAUGGAUGGGUUAAUGGAUGGAUGGAUAGAGGGGUGAAUUUGAAGGGGACAGUGAUGGACAAUGAAGAUAAUGAAGAAGGAGAUAAUUGGUGGAUGAAGGGGUGUGUGGAUGGAUGGAUGGAUGGGUUUAUGUAGAUAUGUAUGUAUGGAUAAAUGGAUGGAUGGAUGGGUGGACAGAUGAAUGAGUAUGUGGACGGAUAGAUAGGCAGAUGAAGGAGAUAAUGAUAGAUCAUUAUCAUGGUAUAUCCAUGGGUGGAUAGACGGUUGAAUGGAAUGGAUGAGCAGGUUAUGAGGAGAAGUUGGAGGCUAGAUAACUGGAUAUAUAGAGGGGUGGGCAGGUAAAUGGAGAGAUGGAUGGUAGAUGGAUGAGUUGAUCAGUAGGAGGCCAGAUCAACGGAUGGUUGGUAUAUGAAUGAAUGGACAGGUAGAUGGAUGGAUGGAUGAAGAAGCCAAUGAAUGGGAGGUGGAUGGAUGGAUUUACAGGUGCACAGAAGGUAGAUGAGUGGAUGGAUGGAUGGUGGAGAAUGGUUGAGGCAGGGGUGCGCGGGUGGAUAGAUGGAUAAAUGGUUUGAUGGAAGUGUGGGUGGGCUGAAGAUGGGUAAAUGAGAGGGUGGCUGAGUGGCCAGACAUAUGGGCUGUGGUUGAAGAAUGGAUAAAUGGUUGGUAUAUGGGUGGAUGGACAGACAAACAACAGGACUGGGACUGGAACCACGGGUGUAUCAGACUUCAGACCUGGGACCCUCACCCAGGGCUACUCCAGAAAUGUCUUCAAGUCUCAGGGGCCUUGUCCUGGCUGGUGUGGAGGGCCCUGAGGGCUGGAGGGCCCCUCUCACCCUGGGUGGAGUUCCAUGGACCCACCUCUGCUCUCCACUUCCGAUGACUGGAGCCUCUCGACUACAUGCCCCACUGCAUGGGCCUCUCUAGGAGGGGAAAUAGGACCUUACCUUCUCCAGGUAGUUAAACUCCAUUGCGAUCUCCCGGAAGAAGAAAUAGAUGUGGCUGCCCCACUCCACCGCGUGGACAAAGUAUGGCUCUGUAGGAGAGAGAGGUCAAAACCCAGUUCGUGAUGGGAGAAAGGCAGUUUUUGGAGCUGGGAACACAGUAGACUGGGUGACUGCUUUUACAGUAAAGUGGGUGGGGGAACAUCAGCUGAUUACCCAGGCAAAAUAAAAGACACUCAAAGUUUGGGA